UCAUCCAGAUCGAAACGGGCUGGGGUGAGGAUUGAGCCCAGGAUCCCUGGGUUUUGCAGUGCGGGCUUGCGCUCCACGUGCUCCGAGAUGGUGUGCGCUAGACCACUCGGCCACCGAUCCCCCCAUUUACUGGGUAAACUGAAUUUAUGUUUAGGUCACAGGGGGGAUCGGUGGCCGAGUGGUCUAGCACACACCAGCUCGGAGCGCGUGGAGAAAAAGCUCGCGCCGCAGAACCCAGGAUCCUGGGUC
rnacentral:SRP_RNA from 1 species